AAAAUGCGAUACGUAAUGUGAAUUGCAGAAUUCCGUGAAUCAUCGAGUUUUUGAACGCAUAUUGCGCUCCCUCGGGAGCAUGCCUGUUUGAGUAUCAUUACAGUCCUUCUACCUCCCCCCUUUUUGGGUGGAGCGUGACGUGAGCCUAAACCGCACGUUUUGGCUGCAAACACGAAGGAUGUGUGUCCUGGUUCGGCCAGCAAGCGUCCUGCGGUGAGUCAUCAUUAUCACGAUGCGCGCUGACCACCGAACCAGCACACGCGUCCCAACAACACACACAUAUUGUUGAUCUCAAAUCAGACAAGACUACCCGCUGAACUUAA
rnacentral:misc_RNA from 1 species